rnacentral:misc_RNA from 1 species
UCUCCGUUGGUGAACCAGCGGAGGGAUCAUUGCUGGAAGCGUCUCACGGCGCACCCAGAAACCCUAUGUGAACCUAUACCACUCUGUUGCCUCGGCGCGAGCCGGGGGCUUCUAUAAGCCCCCCCUCAUCUCGGUGAGGAGCAGGCCCGCCGGCGGCCCUACAAACUCUUGUUUUUAACGUAUCUCUUCUGAGUACAAAUUAUAAAUGAAUCAAAACUUUCAACAACGGAUCUCUUGGUUCUGGCAUCGAUGAAGAACGCAGC